AGGGCCCUGGAGAGAGAGCACCUGCAGCUGCCGCAGCACCUGCACCUGCUGCAGCACCCCAACCAUCUGCGUAAGUUUACGAUAGAUUUUUUUUUCUUGUUUUAUCCAUCUAUCGACACACCUUUUUGGAAAUACAAACCUCCUCAAAUACUUAUGAUUUUUUUCUUCAAUUUUGCAGGGGAGGAGCGAAAAAAGCAAGGAAGUAGGGACAGACAUCUGCAGUGAGAGCACUAAGAAACAAUAACUGCUAUGUUAAUGCGCUUAAUUUCAACUCUAUAUAGAAGUUCUAUUUUUUAUCUACUACUCUAGUUUCUGAUCUUGCAAAUUUUCCAGUCCAUACUAUGGAACUAUAUGAGUUGCAGAGUUUUUUUAAUGUUGAAUGAUGUUUGUGACUUUGGCAAACUUCAAACUAUAUCCAUGUUUAGAUAUAUGAUCUUCGGUUCCUAAAUCGAUUCCUUUUCUUCCUCUAAUUGUUUUUACAGUUUAGCGGUGCUCAACUGCCUCGAGUACGGUGUUGAAUCUGAAUGAAUGUGGUCUGAAUGAUCUGGAUCACUUAUUAACACCUUUUACCUACUUCAAGGUUUUAGGUCAUACUUGCAGGUCAUGAACGUUUUUGCUUAUGCCUGUAGACCAGUUUAAUCAUUUGAAAGCCAAGCCUAGUUGUUUCUGGCUGUCACUCUUUUUUAAAUAAGCAGUUCCAUUGCCUCCUUGAUACGGCAUCAAAUCUUUGCCAACCUAGAUUGGUCAUUUGGCAUGUGGCUUGGCCUCUCAGCCUUCUUUACUCCUUUUUGACGUUGUUUAAUUGUCACAUUAUACCAAAUAACGCCACAAACGAUAAAGAAAGGUUCAACAUUUGGAAAAAAUUGUUUUGCACUAAUGCUUGGGUCAAGCGCACAAUGGAGGCGAUGAAAUCAAAUAACUUGACCAAUAACUUGGAUGAUGAAAUCAACCACAACUUGAGUUUAAGAGGGCUUAGUUUUGUUUUUUGUUUUUGGUACAAAUGCUGGCCAAGUGCCCAAGUGUGCUUCCACUUCAAGCCAAAAACGGAUUUGGAUAAAACACUAUCUCGUGGGUGUUUUUCCUAAGCGGAUACUCGAAUGUGUGUUUAUCUGGUGACCAGAUAAACUUUGUCUAAUCAGACUUAGAUUUAUAUAGGUAUUGAAAAUAAAACAAUUUGGUUAAAAUAAUUCUCUCAUAAUUGGAUUUACAUCCUAAAAUGGUUGAACAUAAAUUUCUUGAUUAGUUAACCGGACAAACAUGGCUUAAGUCCGAUGUUAGACUUGUUCAAGUAUCUAACUCACAUUCGCCAACUUACCGGCUGCCGGAUCAAACCCCAUUGGUAUUUAACAGGGCUUGUACUUGCAUUAAAUCAUCCAUUUUUUUUUUUGUCUUCUAAAAAUUAUUAAUUGUCUAUAAAAAUUAAAUGGAACUGACUGUCAUCGAUACAAAAGGAACAAGUUUAUUACAUGCUCCUAGUAGUCCGAUUCUUGAAACACGGACUUCCCUUAAGAAUCACCACCACGAGUACCAAGUAUAAAAAGGCCUACAGUUCCCAAAUCAGAUUUUUUUUUUUUUCUUUCUUCGAUUGUGAUGUGGUGUGGUGACGCAGUGAAACACACCCAAAAGGCCAAAACUGACCAAUUCCUUCUCCAACUCUUUCUCUCCCUUUUUUUCAAAAGUGCGAUCCGAAACCUUCUUCUUUCUUCUACUCCAUUAUUCUAUCUUUUGUAGCAUUAUUUGUUGUUAUAUUACACAAUUAAGUUAUAUAUAAUACGAUACAAAUUCGAUCAAUCUCGAAGUGAUCGAAAGGGAGAUGGAAUCGGAGCAGUUGAUAUCGACCGGGAGCGGUUCCGGUUCCGGUUCCCGGUAUGUGCAAAUGCGAUCGGAGCAGUUAAUGUCGCCGUCGUCGCUCUUCUCCUUCCGCCACUCGUCUUUUGAGCCGGCGAGGAUCUUCGACGAGUUGCCCAGCGCCACCAUCGUCUCCGUCUCUCGUCCUGACGCCGGCGAUAUCAGCCCCAUGCUUCUCUCUUACACCAUCGAGUUCCAAUACAAGCAGGCACGAUCUCUCUCUCUGUUUAAUGGAUUCUAUGGAUGAGAUCGGGUUGCAUGCAACUGGUUUCAUUAUAGUUUCAUCUUUAGCUUUCGCUUCGAAAAUUGAAUUUCGAAGUCGGUAAACUUUUUUUUUAAAUCUCAUAAUGAUUACUAGUUUGCUUCUAAUUUUAGAUAGCAUUACUGCAGAGUGAUUAAAUUUUAUAAUCUGACAGUAGAGGAUGAUAGCUCGGAGUGUUUGUUCGGUUUAGUUUGUAUAAUUCGGAUAUGCUAAUUGAGUUUAAUUUGGUGGUUAUUAACAGUUUAAGUGGCGCCUAGUGAAGAAAGCAUCACAUGUAUUCUACUUGCAUUUUGCAUUGAAGAAACGGGCGUUUAUUGAGGAAAUUCAGGAAAAGCAGGAACAGGUGUGUUGAGUUUUAGGAUUUGGAUUUUGUUAUUUGUGUUGCAGCGGAUAUGUCAGUGUCUGUGUUUUUACUCUUCCAUGCCCUUUGGCAGUUAGCUCUGCUUAUUUGGGAAUGUUUUUGGAGUUUAAUGUCGUUUCCAACAUUAUAUUAAAGGUUAAAGAAUGGCUUCAAAAUCUAGGAAUAGGAGAUCAUACGGAUGUGGUGCACGAUGAUGAGGAUGUUGAUGAUGAGACUGUUCCCUUGCAUCACAAUGAUGAAAGUGCUAAAAACAGGUUAGUAGUUUUUGAAUUAUGCGGGUUUAGGAUGAGUCAGAUGCAUGAAAUACUUCUUUUCUGGAGUGAAAAAUCAGUUAUGACUGACAACUUUUGUUGCAUCUUUUGUUCAGAGAUGUUCCAUCUAGUGCAGCUCUACCGAUCAUUCGGCCAGCGCUUGGCAGGCAGCAAUCCAUUUCAGACAGAUCAAAGAUUGCAAUGCAAGGAUAUCUUAAUCACUUUCUUGGAAACAUGGACAUUGUGAACUCUCGAGAGGUGUGUUGGUUGGUUUUUUUUUUUUUUUUUUUUUUUGUCUUUCUAAAGGACUGUUAACAAAUUUGUUUGAACUCUACCAUUUGGUGGCGUUAUCUAUCAGAUACAAUUGCAUUAAUUUGGUAACAUGUGAUGGCUAUUGACUUUAAAUAUAUUGGAUAAUGAUGAUUUCUAAACUUUCUCUGCUUUUAGCUUUUGUCUGUCAUCUACUAUAUUCAUAUAUUUCUCAUGCAGUUGUAUCUAUUGUUGAAAUCAUUAUUUCUCAUCAAUAAUUAUGUAUUGUAGGUCUGCAAGUUUUUGGAGGUCUCUAUGCUAUCAUUUUCCCCAGAAUACGGCCCUAAGCUGAAAGAAGAUUUUGUAAUGGUGAAACAUCUACCAAAGUUGCCAAAGGAUGAUCCUUCCGGGAAAUGUUGUUCAUGUGGUUGGUUCAAUUGUUGUAAUGACAACUGGCAAAAGGUAAUGAAGUCCUCCUCUUGGUAAGUUUAGUUCAUACUCACCUCAUAAGAAAGCGCGUUGAAACAGUUUAAUCGCCCUGUGGAAGUUGAAAUAACUUAAAGAGACCCAAAAAUUGUUAGACACAUGUUGAGUCCUAAGAAAUUUAGGUCAUCUGUCAUUCAUUUUUUAUGCAUUUAGUUUAAGGUAAUGUUUCCGCACCGUCUGUCUUUUGCAUCAUCCUUUAAUUGAUUCUCUGCAGGUUUGGGCUGUAUUGAAACCAGGAUUCUUGGCCUUUCUGUCAGAUCCUUUUGAUACCCAACCUUUAGACAUAAUAGUAUUUGAUGUACUACCAGGCUCUGAUGGGAAUGGGGAUGGCCGUGUAUCUCUAGCAAAAGAGAUAAAAGAUAGAAAUCCACUACGACAUGCAUUUAAGGUUAGUAGCAUUGAUACCUAUUAUUUCUUCUUCUUUCUUGUUAGUCUCUGGUACUCUAGAUUUUGUUUCUGGAUAAAGUGCAGAUUGUAUAAUUUGUUUCUCGAACUCCAGUGUUGGCUCGGAGUUCAGUAUAUAUUCUUUUCUGUGAUUUAGGUGGUUACACGUGUUUGGUUUAUCCAGUUCUGGGUGUUUAUAGCAGUAGGAUGAAGCCAUGAAUUGCAAUCUUAAUAUAUAAAAGGAGCAUUAUUGUUUUCUUUCGUACCCAGCACUGGUAGAAUUAUAGCUUAAAUAAUGCACUUCAUGAUAAGGAGUAUGCUCAAGUUACUCUAGAAUUUGUUUCCGGAUAAAGUUCAGCUUCUAUACUAUGUUUCUUGAUCUCCAGUGUUGGCUCAUAAAGUUGCAAGUGAAGCAGAGUCUAGUAUAGAUUAUUUUUUUGUGAUGUAGGUGGUUGUACAUACAUGGUUUAUGCAAAUCUGGGUGUGUAUAUUAGACUAUAAGUAGAGGAUGAAGCCGUGUAUUUUUUGCGUAAAAUAUUGAAGGAGCAUUGUUUUCUUUUGUACCCAACUGGUAGAAUUUUAGCUUAAUAAUGCACUUCAUGAUAAGGAGCAUGCUCAAGUUGCUGGUGGCUCAAGAAUUUUUAAUUGAUAGAAUACAUUUCCCUUCUCUACGUAAUUGGUGGGUGAUGCUAUCUGCCCAUUGAAAUAUUCAGACAAUCCUUUGCUUAAUGUUGUGAAUCUUUAAAAGGUGGCUUGUGGAAGCCGGAGCAUUAAGUUAAGAGUUAAGAGUAGUAGUAAAGUUAAAGAUUGGGUAGCUUCAAUCAAUGAUGCGGGACUCAGACCUCCUGAAGGUUGGUGUCAUCCUCACCGUUUUGGCUCUUUUGCGCCUCCAAGAGGCUUGGCUGAAGAUGGUAGUCAGGCUCAAUGGUUUGUAGACGGUCGGGCGGCAUUUGAAGCUAUUGCUUCUGCAAUCGAGGAUGCAAAAUCAGAGGUGUGUUCACAUCACUUCCUUGUGUAGAACUCAAUUGUGUUCCAUAAUUAUUAGUAUUGUGUUUUCGUCCAGUUGAUGAUACUGAGUUUCAUGCAGAUAUUUAUUUGUGGCUGGUGGCUGUGUCCAGAAUUGUACAUGCGGCGUCCAUUUCAUACUCAUGCUUCUUCUAAACUUGAUUCUCUGUUGGAAGCAAAAGCUAGGGAAGGGGUUCAGGUAAACCAUUGUUUUUAUCUGUAACCUUAGAUAUCUACUUGUUCCUCUGCCACAAUGUUUAACUUAACCUUCACUAUUCUUGCAUUGAAGCUGGCUUUAUUUCAUUACCAUUAAGUAUAAUGUUAUAAUGUUCCUGCAGAUUUAUAUACUUCUCUAUAAAGAGGUAGCACUUGCUCUGAAAAUCAACAGCGUUUAUAGCAAGAGAAAGCUUCUUGGGAUUCAUGAGAAUGUGAGGGUACUACGUUAUCCUGACCACUUUUCUAGUGGUGUCUACUUAUGGUACGAACUUAAAAGUUAUUCUGGGAUUCUGUUUUAUUUGUUAGAAAGUCUCAUGUAAAUGCUGAUGUUUCAAUUAAUUGUUUCCUAUGUCUUGUUCUGCUUCUGAUAUUUACAUAUUUGUUACAUAUAGGUCCCACCAUGAAAAACUUGUCAUUGUUGAUUAUCAGAUUUGCUUUCUUGGAGGACUUGACUUAUGCUUUGGUCGUUAUGAUACUGCUGAACAUAAAGUGGGUGACUGCCCUCCUAACAUUUGGCCUGGAAAGGACUAUUACAAUCCCAGGUGAGCUGCUUGCCUGCACUUGGAUUGAUCAUAGAUAAACGAUAAAAAUGAUUCAUAAUCCAUAAUUAAUUACCUUAGCGUAGCUUGUCUACUUUUAUUUGAACUUUGAGAGUGACACCAAUCCCACCUCAUUUGCUACAUCUUGAGCAUGGUCUUGUGGAUUUAAAUUGAUAUAUGUAGUAAUUUUGUUUUUACUUGGUUCUAGAUUUUUCUGAAAUGAUUGAAGUGAAAUAUGGUUUUUGGAUAUGAUAUUUGUAGGGAAUCUGAACCAAACUCGUGGGAGGAUACGAUGAAAGAUGAGUUGGAUCGUGAAAAAUAUCCUCGCAUGCCUUGGCAUGACGUACACUGUGCUAUUUGGGGACCUCCCUGCCGUGAUGUAGCUAGGCAUUUUGUUCAGCGGUGGAACUAUGCAAAGGUUAAUAUCAUGGUACAAUAACAUAAGUUUUCAUCGACAAUAAAGUACCUUAUGCUUUAACAAAAUGUUGAUUCUUUCAGAGAAAUAAAGCUCCAAACGAGCAGGCAAUCCCUUUACUGAUGCCGCAGCACCACAUGGUGAUUCCUCAUUACAUGGGAAGAAAUUCGGACAUGGAGAUUGAAAAUAAGAAUGCUAGCAAUGGUAAAGACAUGACAAGGCAGGAUUCCUUCUUGUCGAGAUCAUCUUAUCAAGAUAUCCCCCUGCUUAUUCCCCAAGAGCCAAAUGAAAGUCCAAGACCAAAUGGGGUGGACUCUCCUCAUUGCCUCAGUCAGCCAAACAGCAAUCGUGCUUUCCCUUUUCGGAAGACAAAGAUUGAACCAGUAGGUCCAGAUACGCCAAUGAGGGGAUUUGUAGAUGACUUUGAUUCUUUGGAUCUACAUGGAAAAUUGGCUUCAGAUGGGGUGGCACAUCCUGCAAUCAGAAGUUCAGUUCCAGAGUGGUGGGAAACACAAGAACGGGGAAAUAAGGGCGGUCUCACAGAUGAAUCAGGACAAGUAGGUCCUUGUAGUUCAUGCCGAUGUCAGGUUUGCGAAAACACUUCUGUUUUUCUAGAUUUCCUUUUGACUUCUGAUUUAUCAUCUGCCUUUUAUGAUGAAUUGUUACUCCAUAAGCGUCUGGUUCUGGAAUAAUCUGGUACCCCAAAAGCAAUUUUUUUAAAUUAAUAAGGGGUUUCUAAAAUUUCCGCAAAUUUAGUUUUUCAAGUGCUAGGGAGAUGAUAGCAGAAUAUCAAAUGGUUCAGUUUUGUACUGUUUGUCGUAAUAGAAGACAUGGUGUGUUGUACUAUUUCUAAGAAGAUUUCACUUUCAGGUUAUCAGAAGUGUCAGUCAGUGGUCAUCAGGAACAAGCCAAGUUGAAGAUAGCAUUCAUAGUGCUUAUUGUUCUCUUAUCGACAAAGCUGAGCACUUUAUUUACAUUGAGGUGUGAUUCUUCAAUCUCUCUUACUUUGCAAACAUGAUAGUAUAUUCAAGUAUCUCCUCCAAAAUGUAUUUUAAUUUCUCAUAUUGUGCAGCAUUGUUAAUACACUUGUGAAUACAUCGUAUGUGUUAAGAAGCAUGCUCAAAAUUUAGGAUGACGUAUAUGAAAUGUAUUUAGAAGCACCAGCUUGCUUGGGAUGAUUUGUGAGUAGUGAUAAUCAGCUUGUCAGUAUUUAGUAUAAUUAAGAAACUUCUUAUUUUUCUCGACUAUCAGGGGAAAAUUCAUAAUGAUUGACUAUUUAUUGGACACUUUUGUCCCUAAAGUAAAGCCAUAUAGGUGCAUACACAGGACAGCCUUUGAUUCUGGGCGAAAUAUGUGAUCAUCUAUGUCUCUGACUCAAACAGCUGGAAAUCCAUAGUUUAUAUUGAUAGUGAUCUCAAUAAUGAUUAUAGAUGCCUUCAGUUUCCUAAAUAUAUUUUUUCAAAAAUAAAUUAUUAUUCAGCAUGGUAUUGAUAUUUCUAGCAUCUCUUAUGGUCUGUUUUAUUUUAUUCACUGAUAUAAUUUAUUUUUUUGCCACCUUUCUAGAAUCAAUUUUUCAUCUCAGGUCUUUCAGGAGAUGAAAUAAUACGGAAUCGUGUGUUAGAAGCAUUAUUCCGUCGUAUUAUGAGAGCAUACAAUGAUAAGAAGUGUUUUAGAGUUAUAAUUGUCAUACCACUCUUACCCGGAUUUCAGGUGAGCUCUUCUCAAACUGCAUCAAAUUCAAAUAUACCUUGCCCAUGUAUCUUUUUUGUUGAUGUUUUAGUUUGAUAGGGUGGUUUGGAUGAUGCUGGCGCUGCAUCUGUGAGAGCUGUUAUGCAUUGGCAAUAUCGAACGAUUUGCAGAGGGCAUAAUUCAAUUCUACACAAUUUAUAUGAACUUCUUGGUCCAAAGACACACGACUACAUUUCUUUCUAUGGCCUUAGAGCUUAUGGUAAACUAUUUGAUGGUGGUCCUGUGGCCUCCAGUCAGGUACUUUUAACAUUAUUAUAGUUUAAUGCCUAUAUUCAUUCUUUUCAGUCCUGGAUACUAGUAAUAUAGUAGCUCAUCAAAAUGUCAUAAUCUAAGUAUUAUGUUUUUUUGGUACUGCAGGUAUAUGUGCAUAGUAAAAUCAUGAUUGUCGAUGACUGUACAACUUUAAUUGGUUCAGCUAACAUCAAUGAUAGGAGUUUGCUUGGUUCAAGAGAUUCUGAGGUAUUUAUUCUGCUCUGAAUUUCUCCUGCAUUUUUUGUUCCCAUGUAUCAUGUAGUGCGUUCAAUUAUUAAAAUUAGAGAGAAUGCAAAUUCGUUUUUUUUUUUUUUUUAAAUUGCAAAUAGAAUGAAGAUUAUUUGAGGUCAAAUGUUUUAGAUGACUUAAUAGUGCAGAAGUAAAAAACAAAAACAAAAUGCAUCAAAUUUUGUCAAUAGACAUAGGCUUCAGCAAAUGUGUCACUGCAUUCAGCAAUUACGUUUCACUUCAUGAAUUAAAUAGAUAUAGGUUUCAAAUAGCUAUUUCUAUUCUUGACAUAGGAUUUGUGCUACCAGACCAUUGUUGGUAUAUAUAGUUAUCAGCUAAUAGUUCCAUAUAUUACAAGUUCAAAUCAAAUAAUUCAGUCACACGAGUUCCAUGUCAUCAAUAAUUAUGAAACUUUUAGGCCCAUAUAUGUAUUGGGCGGUGAAUCUUGCAUAUCUGUAGAGUAAUUCUCACCCAGACAACUUUAUUAAAAUAACUCCCGGCUUUCCUAUAUUUGAUUUAGUAUGUUGUCUUUCUCAUUUUGAGACAUGACUUUCUGUUCUUUAAUGUAGCUUUUGCUAACUGGCUCUUUUUCAUAUCAGAUUGGUCUUCUUAUUGAAGACAAAGAGUUGGUUAAUUCAUAUAUGGGAGGAAAACCAUGGAAGGCUGGAAAAUUCUCACUGAGUCUUCGCCUGUCGCUGUGGUCUGAACAUCUUGGUGUUAAUGCUGGAGAGGUUAGCAACAAUUUGUGUGCAUCUCUAUUGAAUGAAUGAUAUUGUUAAAUUCAAUGAAUUUGCUGAUUUUUGUUGAAUAAUGAUUAGAAUCUUUGUAAUAGCUCGUGCCAGUUUGCCAACUUUUGUUUUGAAUAAUUUUUUAAUAUAUAUUUUUUUUCCUCAGAUGGACCAAAUAAUUGAUCCUACUGUUGAUUCAACUUACAAGGAUAUAUGGAUGGCAACAGCGAAGGUAGGACAAAGUAGGAGAAAAGUAUUAUGGUGUUCAGAUAUGUGAUCCGCGUGGAACCGUAAAACUUGAAACUGAUCAAUAAAUAUGAAUUUGAGAAUUUCAAGUUUCUUGAACUAGAUGAAGUGGGAUAAGGAAAGCUGGAAAGAAAUAGAUAUAUGGCUGAGUUGCUUGAAUUUGCUAAUACUAAUAUCUGCUGCAUUUUUUUAACAGACAAAUACCACAAUCUACCAAGAUGUCUUUUCCUGUGUACCAAAUGAUUUUAUACAUUCUAGGUACGUGCUUCUCUAAUCUUCUUUGAAUUCUCCUGUUUUCUUGCCUAUUUAGCUGACAAAUGAUUGUCCCUAUCCGUCCUUGUCUGAUGUUUAUGCAGAGCUGCAUUUAGACAAAGCAUAGCCUUCUGGAAGGAGAAGGUAGGGCACACAACCAUUGAUUUAGGAAUUGCUCCCAAGACGCUAGAAUCAUAUCAAAAUGGAGAUGUCAAGAAGGCAGAUCCUAUGGAGAGGUUAGAGUCUAUAAAGGGGCAUCUUGUUUCUUUCCCUUUGGAUUUCAUGCUGAAGGAAGAUUUAAGACCCGUGUUCAAUGAGAGUGAGUACUAUGCGUCACCGCAGGUAUUUCAUUGAGCAUGAUUUAUAACCAAAAGCUUAUCACCACACACCGCUACUGUCUGAUUGUAUGUAUGAAAACAUUUGUCUAGAGAUAUAGUAGAGAUAGUGAAGAAAGGCUCAAAAGCUCCUGAUCAUAGAACUGAUUUCAGAAUGCAUGUAGAAACUAUAAUUUAAUGAAAGUAAAAGUAACCGAUUCUCGUCACUGCGAACCGUGCAGACUUAUAUCCUAUAUGCAGUCGUAUGUUACUUGUUCAUCCGAAUCCGGACCCCCAACUGCUAUAUACAUAUUCUCUUGCCACAUCCAUCUUUGUGGAGAGAGGCGAUGCAAUUGCAAUUUUAAGUGGUGCUCUAAUCAGCUUGUAAUUGGAAGCAACAUAUUGGUUCAUUUUGUCACCGCAAGUGAGCAGCUUCCCAAAAUCUUGAAUCCAAAUCAGAUCUUAGUACCCAAAGCAAAUCAGAUAGUAUUCAGAAUAUGGUACAUGAUGAAUUAAAAUUGCCAGAUUUAGGGGUCGGAAUAUAUUAAACAUUGUUUACAGUUUCGAUUGCAGCCCAGCCGGAAAGGCAAGGCUUUCAAAAAUUGACGGGCGACUCAUAACCUAAGUAGGGCUAGAGUCGCUCGCACCGAAUAAGUGUGUUCGUUAUCCAUGGGUGUUGGCACGACCCGCCGUCACUCUCGAUCAUUGACGAGUCGACCCUCAACCCUGACAGGACAGGUUAGUUAGUUUUCUAUCUGCUUCGCUAUUUUUAUAGCCAACCCCUUGGCCUUUCUUUCACCUAUUCUUCGAUGUGGGAAGGAAUUCCCUUCAUAAACAUGACAACUGAUCCCGUCUACUAAACACACACUACUGGUUCUCCAGCAUCUCAAGGAACGAGUAGAGCAAAUCUUAUACUCCAGUAUGUUGCAACUUGCAAGUGUGUUCGUGAUCCCCAUAGUUUUUGGGCACUGUCUCUAGGAUUGGUCGUGUUUCGAUUGUAUAGCGAGCACCCUCUUGCUCUUUCACUUCACAGUUUACCAAUGUGGGAGAAACUAGUUAUGAAUUAUGAACUCAUUACUGGUGAACAAUAUACAUUUUUUGUGUUCAUCUGACUUUACCUUAACAUGUUUCAGUAUGAGGCAACGUAAACUUUCAUGCCUCAUGCAUGUUUCAAGAAGGAGAAGGGAAGGUUAACCAUAAACAUUGCAAACUAAACAUAACGUAUAGCUUCUAUGUUACAAAGAAAAAAACAUGAAAUAACUAAUGUCACAAAGGAUAUAUAAACUAACUAAUGAGGUGUUUGCAAUACUUGGUGCUAACUAUCUAUGUUAACCACCAUAACGGAUCUUGAGGGAUUCCGGAGGCUCUUCUUCCAUAAUUCCCGAACCAGUUGUAGCCAAGUACUCUCGAAUGGUUGUUUUACGGUCUCCAAGGAAAGUGUGAUCCAAGAAGUUGUUGUAUGCUAUAUCGUUAAGAUUUUUUGCUGCUAACACACUAGAAAGGCAUAAAAACCAGUUAAUUCUUGUCAUAGAAGUUGGUAUUGCAAACACCUCAUUUCUGAGGUAGAGUAUGAAGUUGUUGAAGUUACUACAGCAUAUAAGCAGAUUAUCUUCUCAUUUCAGAGCCAGAAAAGAAAUUGAGAAAAGGCAAACUCAAGUUGGUAACAGUUAAAAGGUAAUAGUAAAAUAUGCAAUGCAGAUGGAUUCAAUGCAUGGAUUGCUGUAACAAAAGCCACUAAACUACGAAUGCAAGGGUCUCUCCCACAUUUUUCUCCUGAUAAAUCAAUACAGAGCCGAGAUGACUUUCCUUUCUACUUUAAAAACCCAAUUAAAAAAAUUGGGCACACUACUUGUUAUUCAUUAUCUCAGGUUCUUUUUAGCAGCAUUAGUAAUGCAAGUACAAAGAAGUCAUUAAAAGAUUUAUACUUACCAGUGACGAAGGUAAGUUCGGCAAGGUAAGAUAUCAUCCCUCCAAAUCUUAUCAAUGUUAUAUCGGCCAAAUAGCUCAUAAUACAUUUCCUUACUUCCUGAAACCAGAGAAAAAAAAUCAGAUGAAAGCAAAACGGUUACCAAAACCAUGCAUUGUUUCUUUGUAUCUAGUGAUGCUACUACUAGCUAACUACACUUGUAUUAUAGUAAUCAUUCUGAGGUUGAUUAACAAAUUAAUUGGAAGAGGCAGUUAAGUUCAAACUAGGGAUAACAUACCCUUGCAUCUGACUCUGAAAAAUUCUUCAUCACUAUAAUGAGCACAAAGCACCUGCAUUGAUAUCAGUACAUCAACAUUACUAUUACCAAACUAAACCCAGAACCAGGUCAGAGAAAGUUAAACCAUUCGUAUAAAAUAUUCACAUUUUCCACUCACCGCUCGUCUAUCAAAUGGAUUCCCAUCAAGGGUUUCAGGCACAACCUGCAGGAGAAACAGAUGAAUCCCAAAUUAAACGCAAAGCUCUAACAAACUAACAAUAUCUAUUUUUAAAGUAAAUGCCAAGAAGCAUUCCAUGUUACUUACAGCUAGGAAUCGAAACUCAGGCUCCCUCUUGAUAAAAGCCGGAAUCUGAGUACCAUAACAAUAAGCUUGAGGUUAGCACACACUGAAUGAACUGGUUUCCUUCUAUCUCAAACACACUAGUCAAUAGGCACUGAAAGUCCGAAGAAACAUAUCGUCCUCAUUUCUUACCUCCGAUUUUUGAAUCUCAAACACCGUCACUAUAAGGCUUUCGCCUUCACAAGGCUCCACACUCAAACUCGAAAUCUCCUGCGAUCGGCAUGUACCAAAAUUACAAAAACUACAAUCACAAAGUUCACGACUUCAAAUUAGAAUUUGGAUACCACAUUUCUUCCAAAAGAAUUCAUAACCAAGAUUUUCUAUCACCUACGUACCUUGGUUUCAGGCUUGGCAAUGCCACGCUCGAAGAAAAUUGGAGCCAUGUGACCGAAGACUCGCUUGAAUCCGUUCAACCGCGCCACUCUGAAGUUGAUCAGCUCCGGAAAUGUACUCCUCGCGCUUCUCACUGGUUACCAAACACACACAACCGCAACCGUUUGAUAUCCGCAAGGAAGCAAAACAGAGAACAAAACAUGAUUACCUACCGGAGAGGAGAGAGCCGAAGCCGCAGAUGGAGAUGUAACCGUCGCGCGAGACGAUGGUUUCGAACUCGGACUCGUCGUUGAGCUCGAUCGGUUGUGUUUGAGUCUCCGGGAAGGAUGAUCGGGGGGAAAUAGAGGACAUGGCGAUCGGAGAAGGGUGGCGGUGGUGGGAGGAGCGGAGGAAGGGAGUGUGGGGGGAGGUGUGGAGGGUUGGGAAGGUGAGGUGGAGAGGUUGGCGGUGAGAACACGCGCCGGGAAUGAGGGGUUUAGAAGGAGAUGGAGGGAGGGAGAGACGGAGAGCAGUGGCAGUCAUGAGGAAAGAGACAAGUUUUAGAAAGUGAACGACGCAAACAGCGGACUUCGUGUCUGAAUUUGGUUAAACUACACUAGUAAUCUAGGAUGUGUUUGGAAGGACUGAAAAUAAAGAAUUUCAUUAUUUCUAUACUUAAAUUAUCGUCUAACAUUCCAAACUUUGGAAAUUUAUAUUUUCUUGUGGAAAGAAAAUAAAAAGAUUGAUUGUGUGAAUCUUUCAUUUCAAUUUUCAUUAUAAUAGACGUAAUUAUUUCGUACAAACUGCAGAAGCUUUCUCUUAUCUCUUUACUAGUUUCCAAAACAAUAUAUAUUUGUUUGGUUGGAUUUGAUUUUGGGCUUGAGGAACAAACAGUCAAACAAGCACCACAACCGGAUCACCUCCACCUCCACCAUCAUCACCAUCAUACCAGCUUUCGAACCUCAUCAACUCGUGGGAUAGGCGGAUGCCUUAAUCACAUAACUGACAGAAAACCAAUUAUAAUUUUCUUUUUUAAUAUUUAAUUUUAUUUAAAAAAUUUUCAUUACUUACACAACCAAACAAUUGAAAUUGCAAUUAAUUAAGCAUAUGGUGACAGUUAGUAAGGAACCUCCAUGUCUAAAGUUCAAGUCCUAACUCCCACUAAUUUUUGGCCAGCAGGCUUGAGGUGAUUGAGGGUUCGUGUGCCUGUAGUGGGAGACUAGUCUGGUUUUGUUGUGAUACUCUCGUGGAUCUCUGUUUGAAUCUUGACUAUAUAGAUGUGUUAUUAACUUGGUAAUGUAACCGAGAGGACUUGCUACCUUAGUCACAAUCCAAACAAAAAAUUAUAUAGAAAAGAAAGCACAAAAUACUCCAUAAAUAGAAGAAUAUAAUGUAUGCAAAACUGUUCGUGAUAGAGUUGAACGAUAGUGCUAUUAAUCAAUUUCAUCCCAAAUAUGCUGUGAUCAAAGAGACACUUCAUUGAGUGUGAUAUAUGCCCUCCCAUUGACUGCUCUUCAUGCCUAUACUUUCAUCAUAUCAUCAUAUGUUAGAAACUGCAGGUUGUUUCAGAGGAGAGAUUAUUCCGUCUUAAGCAUUGGAAUUUGGAAAAUGGUAUUUCAAGGCUUGUGUUCCAAUUGUCCUGGUCUACAAAGGCAACGAAAGAGCAUAAUAAGUAUAGCUAAUCCAUAAAAUGAAACGAAAAUACAUUAAAAAAACAAUCUAAGAAAUCAUCGUACCAAUUUGAUUGGCAUUGAGCUUCAAUUUUAACUCAUGGCGGUACUGAGUCUAUGUCAUUGUAUCAAACCUGGAAAUUUUAUUAUGAGAAGACAAAACUGGAAAUGUAUGAUUUACAAAAAAAAAAAAAAAAAAACUAGGAAAUGUACUGAUGAUAAGACAAGGAAAAAGAGAACACAGCAAAAUCACAUAUUACACGUCCUUGCUUGCCAUGUUCUUCCACAGACUUUCUUAAACUACUUCCAUAUACUUCUAUACGUACAUAUGCCUCUGGGGAAAGUUCAGUAAUCUCUAUAGCUGCACAGAGAGAAGAAAAGCGAGUUCAAGAAAGCCUGUGGAAAAGCAUGACAAGAGCAAGGGGUAGAAAUAUUUGUAUAUGAUUGCGACCUAAAACUUAAGACCAAGUAGCUAACUCUAUCACAUCGGCAGGAAUCAUUAGUUAGGAGCCCAGGAUUGGUUGUAGUUAUAAGAGAGCAAAUGUUUCUUUUCAAGGUUAAGAAAGAGGGGGUAGAACACAUUUAUUUUGUGACUUCUGCUACUUUUGCAGAUGUGCAGACUGAACGAAAACAAUGUGUUAGGAGUAACACUACUAAUGAAUGCAUAACAAACUUUUUAUUCUGUAUUCUGCUGUAUGUUUUCUGCAUCAAUCUAACCGUCUAACCCUAUAUUUAGGUGUGGGAAAAUCUAACUGAAAAUUUAUUGAGAUUGGAAAAGAAAAAAGAUUUACAUAUAACUUCACAGUUACGUCAUAGUGUCACUCUAACUCCAAACCACAUAGCGCCAUUGCUGGUUUGUUAUUACCCCUGAAUGUGUUAUUAUCAACAUAGUGUAAUUCACCACACUUAACCAUUAUCAACACACAACCUUUUUCCUUGACCUAGCCGCUCGUCUGCUAGGGUUUACUUUCUAACGAAAGCAAUAUCUGAAUCAAGCAUGGACAUGGACAUUCUUAGUUGGAAUUGUUGUGGUAUUUGUAGUGAUUCAACCUCUCGGGCCUUGAAGGAUCUGAUCUCUCAAAACAAGCCCCAAAUUGUUUUUCUCUGAUACAAAAAUAAGCAACAACGCUGCCUUUGAAAACCUGCGAAGGAGGAUUGGUUUUACGCUAGGGGUUGGAGUUCUCAGUGAGGGCUUAUCAGGCGGUCUUGCGAUGUUUUGGAAUGAUGAUGUUCAGGUGAAAGUGGGUACUUCUUCGGCUCAUCAUAUCGAUUUGGAGAUUGAUAGUGGACAAGGUUGCCCUAGAUGGAGAUUGACGGGCUUCUAUGGAUGGCCCCGAACAGCAGAUCGAGAUUUUUCAUGGCAGCUUUUGAGGGAUCUUAGAGACUUCUGUUCUUUACCAUGGGUGGUAAUUGGAGACUUCAAUGAAAUUCUUCAUAGUGGGGAGAAACAAUUUGGACCACAGAGGCCUGAAAGACAGAUGAGGGGCUUUCGUGAGGCCUUAGGAUAUGGUGAUCUGCUCGAUUUAGGGUUUACAGGUCCUGCUACCACUUGGUGGAAUUCAGAAGCCCUUCUUCGUUUAGACAGAGUUGUUUGCACACCAGAUUGGUGUAAUAUCUUUGGGCAUGCUAGGUUACAGCAUCUUCUACCGAGUGACUCUGAUCAUUUACCUAUAUUGCUGCGUGCUAGUACAGUCCUUAUCCCAAAGAAACCAAGAUAUCAUAGAUUCAAGAUGGAAGCACAUUGGUUGCAACAUGGAGAGUGUGAUGAUAUUGUACGUGAUGCCUGGUUCACUGAUAUAGCUGGUAUUCCCAUGUACCAGGUUACCCAAAAAAUCAGGUACACAAGAUUGAAUCUCGAUGCUUGGCAAAGAACAAAAUUCAAAGGCAGACAACUUGAGAUGUUGGGUAUACGUGAAAGACUAGAAGCUUUAUUGGGUGUUGGUAUCUCCGAGGAGGUGGUGUUGGAGAAAAAGGAACUUUCAUUUUGACUUCAGAAGCUUCUUUCGUAGGAGGAAACAUUUUGGAAGCAGAGGGCAAAAGUAUUGUGGCUCAAAGAUGGGGAUAGAAGUACGAGCUAUUUUCACAGGAAGGCUAGUAACAGAAAACGUAAGAACCAUAUAAAGGGUCUUUAUGAUUCGGGUGGUACAUGGGUGGAAGAAGAUGAAGAGAUUGAAAGAGUUGUGUCAAGUUAUUUUAGACGGAUGUUUACAGCUGAAGAUGUGGAUAUGGAAGCCAUGCAGACUACGUAGAUGCUAUCUCUCCAUGUGUAACUGGUGAAAUGAAUGCUCAAUUGUGUGAAGAUUAUUCACAGGAAGAGAUCAAAUGCGCACUAUUCCAAAUGUACCCAACUAAGUCUCCAGGACCUGAUGGGAUGCCUCCGUUGUUCUUUCAACAUUACUGGGAUUUGAUUGGAAAGGAUGUUACAAGUGCAGUACAAAGCUUUCUUCAUUCUGGACAGAUGUUGGGUCAAAUUAACUUCACUCAUAUAUGUCUUAUCAGGUUCCAAACCCGGAGCAUAUGUCUGACCUCAGGCCGAUUGCACUUUGUAAUGUUAUUUACAAAAUAUGUUCCAAAGCUAUUGCAAACCAACUGAAAGUGAUCAUACCUAAUGUUAUCUCUCCCUUCCAGAGUGCUUUUGUUCCGGGGAGACUUAUCACUGACAACAUCCUGGUAGCUAAUGAGCUUGCUCAUUACGUGCAUAAUAAAAGAGAUGGGAAGGACGGCUAUAUGGCUCUCAAACUGGACCUUAGCAAGGCAUAUGAUAGAAUGGAGUGGCUCUUCUUGCGGAAGGUACUUGAGAGGUUUGGCUUUAAUGCUGCAUGGAUUGAUUUGGUGAUGAAAUGUGUCAGUACUGUGAGAUACUCUUUUCUAAUCCGAGGUAAACCCCGUGGCUAUGUUAUUCCAGGGAUACGGCUGAGACAAGGAGAUCCUCUCUCCCCAUAUCUGUUUUUUACUUGGAGCUGAAGGUUUCUCGGCCUUGUUACAACAAAAACUACGAACAGGUUUGUUACCUGGUGUUAGGAUUUGUGAGGGAGCUCCUUCAAUUAACCACUUGUUUUUCGCUGAUGAUAGUAUGCUCUAUGCAAAUGCUACAGUAAGUAAUUGUCAUCAGAUUCAGGAGGUGAUUGAGGUCUAUGGAAGAGCCUCAGGACAGUUGGUCAACUUUGAGAAGAGCUCAUUGGUUUUUAGUAAAAAUGUUGGGGUGCAAAUGCAAGAGACAAUUGCUGGUAUGAUGCGAGUUGAAGUAGUAGACUCCCAUGAAAAAUAUUUGGGACUGCCAACCUAUGUUGGUAGGAAAAAGACUGCUACUUUUCAAUUUAUCAAGGAGAAGUUGUCGAAAAAAAUCUCUAAUUGGCAGGGAAAGCUCCUGAGUGGUGCAGGGCGAGAUAUUUUGAUUCGGGUGGUGGCUCAGGCUCUACCUACUUAUGCUAUGAGUGUGCUUCAGCUUACAAAAUUUUUUUGUGAGGAUUUGGAACAACUUUGUGCUAAAUUUUGGUGGGGGAGUACGUACUACAGAAAAAAGAAAGAUACACUGGAAAAAUUGGAAAGCUCUCUGCUCUCCGAAGGAGGAAGGUGGUUUAGGCUUCCGUAGUCUAACAAAGUUUAAUUCAGCAAUGCUCGCAAAACAAGCCUAGAGAGUAGUGAAUCAUCCUGAUUCUUUGGUGGCUCGAUUAUAUAAGGCUAAAUAUUUUCCAAACAACUCUUUUGGGAAUGCGCCUGAUCAUACUGCACCAUCUUUCUGAUGGAGAAGUAUUGUAUCAACUAGGAGACUAUUGAGGGAAGGUAGCUACUGGCAGAUAGGGGAUGAUCGGUCAGUCCAUAUCACUGACAAUGCAUGGAUCCCAGGUAUUCUAAAUUUCAGACCCUCUGAUGCUUCAAUUCUCAAUAACUCAGUAGGUUAUGUUAAUGAGCUCUUGACUCAUAGUGGUGGAUGGAAUGAGUUUUCAGUUAGGGCGACUUUUACUGGAGAGGUAGCUAAUGCCAUAUUAGCUAUUCCCUUACCGUAUGAGACAAUGGCAGAUAGAGUCGUUUGGAGACUGGAAAAGCAAGGCAUCUUUACUGUGAAAACUGGUUAUCGACACUCUUUUGCUCAUUCUUCUGCAUAUCCACAUUCUGCUCUCAAUGUGGGGGUCAGUUUUUGGAAAAAGGUUUGGAAAGCUAAUGUACCUACUGGUGCAAAAGUAAAUAUAUGGAGGGUGUGUCACAACAUUUUACCGUCACUUGAGAGAUUGCAAUCCAAACAUGUGGAGCUGGAGUCCAUAAAUUGUCCUUUGUACGUGCUUGGAUACAGUGGAAUUUACUUUGCACCUGUGUAGGGACUGCCCUUUUACUAGAGAGGUAUUGCGAUCAAAUGGUGUUUUAUCACAGGUUUGUCUUAACCCUUUGGUAUUACAUUUUAAUUUGGUUGAUUGGUUAACCUCAUGCUCAACUGCUCAAGGGAGUUGUCUAGUUCUGCUUUUGGAGAGAUGAUUUUUUUUGCUAUAUAGUGUGUGGAAGGAAAGAAAUAAUAGAGUUUGGAAUGAUAAAAAGGGAAGUGCGUUGGAUACAGUGAUUGCAGCUAUGUCUAGAGUGCAAGAAUUUCGUUCAGUGACACUAAUAAAUAGCAGUCGUUCUGUUUUAGCAAUACAGAAAUGGAAACCUCCACCUGCUGGGACUUUUAAGAUCAAUGUGGAUGGAUCUUUUAUAAAUCACAAUAGUUAUGGCAGCACGGGUUUUGUGGUAAGGGAUUUUUUGGGAGGUUUCAUUGCUGGGGGUGGGAUGAGUUUUGCUGGUAUACUCUCAGCUGAGCAUAUGGAGUUGAUGGCUUGCAAGCAGGGUGUUUUGUUUGCAGUAACAAAUCAUUUUGUUCCUGCUAUGAUUGAAACUGAUGCACAAGUUGUUGCUCAACAACUUUUGCAACAGUCUGCAUUUAACCUUCCAGCUCUUGGAAGGAUCUAUGACGAGGUUAGGAUACUACUCCAUAAUCAUCCUACAAUCAAGAUCCAGUAUGUCAGGCGUUCUGCAAACAAUGUGGCUCAUGUGAUGGCUUCAAACUCCAAGCAAUUUAGUUUAGAAACUUUUUAUUUUUCAGUUCCUUCUUUUCUUCAGACUGCAGUAGCAGCUGAAAUAAUCCAAGUGUAAUAGCUUUCUUUUUGCAAUGAAGUAUGACCUCUUAAAUCAAAAAAAAAUAUUACCCCUGAAUGUGAGAGCAAUGCUGGGUUUGUUAUUACCCCCUAAAUGUGAGAGCAAUGUGAGUAGCUAUAUGUACGUACAACCUCCAAAAUGCCUCGAGCAAGUUUAGAAUUUCUCAAAUUUAAAAUAUACACCCCACCACAUUGCUUCUCUUUUAGUGUGAAGGAGCUCCGUCGUGGACCUACAAGUGAGCAACCCAUGCAAAGGUAACGGCAAAACCACGAAGUACGAGGAAUAGUUGUGAAGGAAACAUGACGUUGUUUCAAAUGAUUUGGGAUGGAAAGAAAAAAUGUAGUAAUUUUUAAUUUCUUCCAAUAUCGCAACUUAAUUUGUAUCAAAGAUGAAAUAUAGUUUCCACUUCAUUAAGUAACAUCAAACGAAUAUUGAAGUAAGAGCAAGAAAGUUUAUAUAGACAAAGAUUAUCAAAUUACUAUAUGGAAAUAUAACAAGAAAGGAACAAUAAAAUCAUGAUUACAUUUACGUAAUAGGAUUGUGAUGAUAAAAAAGAAGUAGCAAAUGCUGUAAAAUCAAAUUCAUCCAAAUAAAGUUAUAAUAAGAAACAAACUUAUGUAACCAUCACAGGUGGUCGAGUUAGUAAGAGCCUAGGUGUGGAACCCUCAUACCCAGAUUCAAAGCUAACGUUAAUUAGAGUUAAAUCUCAAUUUAUUCUUGGUGGCCAAAGGGGAGGAAGCGUUCUGACAAGAUCUCUCAGUGCGGAUUAGUCUCUAGGUCUGGGAAGUCUUUGAGGAUACCGUUGUUGAUACUUUCAAAAAAAAAAAAAAAAAAAAAAAACUUAUGUUGCAUGUUCUUUUACUUUCCAUGACUUUUGAAAUUUUCAAUCGUAGUAAGUAGUAAGUAGUAUAGAAACUAACCUCAGCCUAUGUGAAUCGUAACUCCUAACACACUGAACCCCAAUACAGCAAAGAUAUAUUUAAGCUUUUGUGUUGUCCAAAUACAGCAACUUAUCACUGUAUCGUACAGAACAACUAUAUUACUUAUGUUGUUCUAAUUCUAUUCCUAGUACAUUAAGGAAAUAAGUUAACGGUCAUGCCUUGAUAUUUAACAAGGUGCAUGCUUUUGUUCAUAAACUGAUAACCUAACUUGACCAGCAACAGUACUAGUUCAUUACAGAACAAAAAUCAACCGAAAUUUUACUCGUCACAAAAUCAACUAGCUAGUACACUUUGCGUUCGUAGACCAUGGGUUUAAGCGACUAUAUACCAAAUUACCAAUAGACUCCUCAGGAUUUAUAAGACAUUUGAUUUGUUGUAGAACAAGUACUGAAAUCAGACACAUGAAAUACGCAUAAUAUUUCCAAAGAUCUUCAUUGUUUUAUUGAAAAAAAAAAAACAACGUCCAAUUUAAUAUGCCAUCCGGCCGGGAUAAGGUGCUGACAAAAGAAAAAGAAAAAAAACUGGAAGACCAUGAAAUUUUGACAAACAAACUGAUAACAAUUAAGCCUAGCAGUACUCGUUAGGAUUAGCCAAGAGGUAGCUUUCAACAAGCCUGAAGAGGUGGGAUGCCUUCUCUUUUCCGGCCUUAACAUGCUCCUCUUUGAACUCCACAUCACCUUUGGUGUGGUAGUUACUUGUGCUCUUGAUGACGGAUCCUCCAUCGGAAGAUGCCACCAACUUGGUCUCGUAGGAGAUCUUCUCAAUCUUGUCGGACUAGGCAUCUCCUUCGACCAAACUGUAGCUGUACACAAAGUUGUCUUUGUCAAUCCCAUCGAUCUUGUGGGUCACUGAGCCGAACUGGCUGCCUUCGCCAAAGGUGAUCUUCUUGAUGGUGCCUACGCCUCCGUCUCCUUCAAUGAUUUCAGCACACUUCACUGCUUGUGGAGCAAUCUUUGGGAUGAGAUUGUCAGCAUCAAGGAUAAAAGCCUUGAAUAAUCUUGGUGGGGGGAUGAUGGAGGUGAACUCGGUUUCAUAAGUGAACACACCCAUUAUCAGCUUAUGAGUUUGAGAAAUGAUCAAAAGGAAAGAAGAAUUAUGCAAAUUGGUGUUUAGGAACUGGAGGAGGUUUUUGAUUUGUGAGAGAAGAGAAUGCCAGGGGUGGUAUUUAUAGGUUACUCAAGGGAAGAGUUGGUGUGACUGAUGAGGUUGAAGGUCACCAUAUGGAGACUUAGCUAGUGUGAAUUAAGAAGUGUCCCUGUAGAUGCAAGCUGUACUUAAUAUUCUCUUGGAUAUAUCCAGAAUGGUCAAGCAAAGCACCCCAUCCCCAAUUAUAAUUGGUACCUAAUUGGCUUUGGAUGGUGAAGUGAACAAAAUAAAAUGCAUGGGUCAGGUUCUAGAUGUUCUUCUCUGCACAUUCUCUUUGAAAUUUCAGUUUAUACACGUAAUGUCGAGCAGUCAACAUUGGCUAUCCCAUAUAUCAGUUUCUUUUUGUAUCAAUACUGGCUUGUAUUGACUGCAAAAACUAGCUAGCUAGUACUUCACAAUCAAAAAUGCAAAGUCUAAUAGUUAAAAAAAAUCAGUGUGCUUCCUUUUCCAGGUUAGGAUGAGAAGUUGGGGUUUUUACAUCAAAGAAUCAGCCAAUUAAGGCGGCAUCGUAGACUUGAACAAUUUUUCACAGGGAAAUAUUAGUUCUUUGAAAAUUCCCUAUGUCUAAGCUCAAGCUUUGAUCUUCAAGGGGUGAGCUUCAUCCUUAACCUAUAAAUACUGCCUCCAGGGCUCAUACUUUCUCACACCAAUAUCAAUAUUCUCUUAUCUUCCUCCACAUUUCAAUCUUCCCAUUUUUAGCUCUUUUAUCAUCAUCAUGGGUGUGUUCACAUAUGAAACCGAGUUCACCUCUGUCAUUCCACCACCAAGACUCUACAAGGCCUUUGUCCUUGAUGCUGAUAACCUCAUCCCAAAGAUUGCCCCACAGGCUGUGAAGAGUGCCGAGAUCGUUCAAGGUGAUGGAGGUGUCGGAACCAUCAAGAAGAUCCACCUUGGUGAAGGGAGCGAAUACAGCUACGUGAAACACCAGAUUGAUGGACUUGACAAAGACAACUUUGUUUACAACUACAGUAUCAUUGAAGGUGAUGCUAUCGGAGACAAGGUAGAGAAAAUCUCUUACGAGAUCAAGUUGGUGGCGUCUCCAAGUGGAGGCUCCAUCAUCAAGAGCACCAGCCACUACCAUUGCAAAGGAGAGGUUGAGAUCAAGGAAGAGCAUGUCAAGGCCGGAAAAGAAAAAGCCGCUGGUCUGUUCAAGAUCAUUGAGAACCACCUUUUGGCCAACCCUGAGGCCUACAACUAAAUCAAACUACGACUGCAUUAUAUACUGUUCUGUUGUGUCCAGUUCUUUUUGUCAUUUGGUGUCCCUCUGAUAUUUUUCCCCUUUUCUUGCCUACCAAGCCUGGGAUUGUUUCGGCUUUCACUUUGAGUGAUGGUGAAUUGUAAUGUUACAUUGGAUUUCAUUUGGAAUAGUAAAGAAUAAACCGUAUGUUCCUCUUUAUACUAAUUAAUUUACUUUGUUUAGUCUCUACCUUCUGUAUGCUAGUACUUUGUCUGUAAUUCUGUAACUGUACAAAAUUUAGGAGUCGACGUGAGAACUUUAUCUGAGUCGUUUCAUUUGAACAUUUGUUGGGUUCAAAACUUCAAAAUGCAGUAAUUGUGAUUAAAAGCACACACUUAACAAUCUCAUAAUUUAAUUACAAACUCGUACAUAAAUAUCCAAUCCAAUUAUGUUUGUUUCAAUUUAUAAGAUUUAACUUAUCUUCUUAGCUAGUAAACGACCUUGAGCAUAUCUUCUCUCGCUAGACAUUUGUUAGUUUCUUCCAGUAUUUCAUAUAUUCAGAUGGAUCAAUACAAUUUUAAUGAGAGUUUUUGCUUUUUACAUUAAUACUACAAUGUCUCUCUCUUUAAAUAACAAAAAUCGAGUUAGUGCCAUUAUUGCUCAUUAUCAUGUUAAAUUCAUGCGAACCAAGUAACCAUGCAAACAAUGCCUCGUAUUAUCAAAUGAGCACUGUCAUGAGCCCAUCGACUUGUAUAACAAGCUAGCUGGAAAUCGAUCCUGAAUUUCAACAGCUCAUUUCUGACCCCUUCAAAAAAAAAAAAAAAAAACCAGCUCAUUUCUGACACAAAGGUUCUUUUGUGUCCAUUUUUGUUUUGAAUAAUGAAUGCUAGGUGAACCACAUUCAUAGGAUGUUUGUUGAUCAUCUUUAAGGACAUUGUUUUAUAACCGCAAUUCGUUAUUUUAGCUUAGUAAUUGAACUACGGAUAUGCAAAUUGUGAUGCAGCUUGUUUAUUUCAUAGAAAGCAUUACAACAUUCCAUCCUCUUAAUGUUCCAACUGGAACAUCAGCGGAACAAAUGGACAAUGAACUGGAAAAAAUGAAGUUUAACAGUAUUCAUUAGGAUUGGCCAAGAGGUAGCCUUCAACAAGCUUGAAGAGGUGCGACGCCUUCUCUUUUCCAGCCUUGACAUGCUCUUCUUUGAUCUCCACGUCACCUUUGGUGUGGUAGUUGCUUGUGCUCUUGAUGAUGGAUCCUCCAUCGGAAGAUGCCACCAAUUUGGUCUCGUAAGAGAUCUUCUCAAUCUUGUCGGACAAGGCAUCUCCUUCGACCAAGCUGUAGCUGUACACAAAGUUGUCUUUGUCAAUCCCAUCGAUCUUGUGGGUCACUGAGCCGAACUGGCUGCCCUCACCAAAAGUGAUCUUCUUGAUGGUUCCUACGCCUCCGUCUCCUUCAAUGAUUUCAGCACACUUAACUGCUUGGGGAGCAAUCUUGGGGAUGAGAUUGUCGGCAUCAAGGAUGAAAGCCUUGAACAAUCUUGGUGGUGGGAUGACGGAGGUGAACUCGGUUUCAUAAGUGAAUACACCCAUUAUCAGCUUACGAGUUUGAGAAAUGAUCAAAAGGAAAGAAGAGUAUUAUGGAAAUUGGUGUUUGAGAAGUUGAAGGAGGUUUGAGUUGUGAGAGAAGAGAAGGGUCAUACUUAUAGAGUAGUCCUGAGUUGAGGUAUGUGCUGGUUGAAGGUUACCAUUAGCUUGUGUGAACUAGUAAAUAGUCCCAGUAGAAGGAUUAUGCUCAAAAUGGUCAAAGAAGGCACUCCCAAUUAAUUUUUAGUGCCAAAUUGGCUAAAGUAGACAAAAGGAAUGGGGUCUUGUUCUAGAUGGUCUUAUUUCAGAGGAAUUUUUAGUAGCUUCCUUCGGUGUUUUCACAAAGUAAUGUCGGUAUCGACAGUCAACAUUGGCUAUCCAUUUUAUUUUUCUCAUGUACUUGCAAUCAGUUGGUUGCAAUCAGUAUGUUAAGUCCGAAUGCUCCUUUUCCAUGUUAGGAUGACAGUUUGAGGUGCCUUCUUAGACUUGAACCAUAGUUCAUUGAUCUUUCAUUGCAUGUCUAUUUUAUAUGUUCUUUGAAAUAAUCCCAUUUUGGCAGCUCAGAUUUGAUCUAGAGGGUGAGCUUCAACCUAACAUAUAAAUACCACCUCUAGGGCUUACACUUUCUCACACCAAUACCAACAUUCUCUAAGCCUCCUCCACAUUUCAAUCUUCUCAUAUUAAGCUCUUUAAUCCUCAUCAUGGGUGUUUUUACAUAUGAAACUGAGUUCACCUCUGCAUCCCACCACCAAGACUCUACAAGGCCUUUGUUCUUGAUGCCGACAACCUCAUCCCCAAAAUUGCCCCACAGGCUGUGAAGAGUACCGAAAUCGUUGAGGGAGAUGGAGGUGUAGGAACCAUCAAGAAGAUUCACCUCGGUGAAGGAAGCGAAUACAGCUAUGUGAAGCAUCAGAUUGAUGGACUUGACAAAGACAACUUUGUUUAUAACUACAGCAUAAUCGAAGGUGAUGCUAUCGGUGACAAGGUUGAGAAAAUCUCUUAUGAGAUUAAGUUGGUGGCAUCUCCAACUGGCUCCAUCAUCAAGAGCACCAGCCACUACCAUUGCAAAGGAGAGGUUGAGAUCAAGGAAGAGCAUGUCAAGGCCGGAAAAGAAAGAGCCGCUGGUUUGUUCAAGAUCAUUGAGAACUACCUUUUGGCCAACCCUGAGGCCUACAACUAAAUCAAACUACGAUAAUGCUAGUAUACUACUGCAUUAUACUGUGUCGUUGUGUCUUGUUCUUUAUAUCAUUUGGUGUGGC
rnacentral:lncRNA from 1 species